rnacentral:tRNA from 1 species
GAUUAGCUCAGUUGGGAGAGCGUCUGCCUUACAAGCAGAGGGUCACAGGUUCGAGCCCUGUGUCGU